CCCAGGUUGAUUAGCCUUGCGCAAUCCUUCCUGCUAAGUGUUCCAUUGGUUUAAACGACUGGACACUGCGUGUUGUGUGAACAGACGCCUUGUCUUUACAGUUCAUCAACACCAUGUUCAUUCCACAUGGUCUUUUGAUUUUAUAUAUCCCAAGGGAAGGUGGUUCCAGUGUUUUGACUGGUUCUGAUAUCAUGAACUUCUGGGAUAGGGUGUGCAAGACUUUCGCAGUAAGUAUGAUGACCGGCGAAGCCCUACCUAUUUCGGCAGCCUUUCUCCGCUCACCGGAUCCGAACCUGUCCCGUUAGAUUUCUUUGGGCCACACACACACAGACGUUAUAAACCAUGUUUUCAUGGGGUGACGUAAAACAGUUCUGCUGGAAGUAUAGGUCUGUGUCGUGUUUUCUUUUCCUGAUCUUACAUGAACCAUGUUUUCUUUAACCCAAUUAUGUACUUAAGAGAUCUGUCUACGAGGCAAGAAAAUAAGCAAAAAGAUGUCACUGUUAGUAUUGUUUUGAGAUAGAUCUCAUAUAUUUGGAGGACCCGUGUUCAUGGUUUGAAUUGUUGUAUUUGAGUUUGAGAAAAGGAUGUGUGUUUUCAUGGCUAUCUGCUGUGUUUUUGUGAUGAGGCAUAGAUCAAAGAAGACAACCCCAAGAAUAGAUCAAGACUUAGCAGAUUAUUAGGCUUAGAUUUAUUUAUUUAUUUAUUUAUUUAUUUAUUGAGUCUCUUUUCCUCUUCUGGGUAGUGUUUAGUUCUGCGUUUUAUUUUCCUACAUUCCAAUUAUUUACCUGUUUCAGAGAAAUCAAUAAUUGCAGAACAUUGAAAAUUGUUUUUUUUUCCCUAUAGUCUAUUAGGUCAUCUUUUUUCUUUAUCUUUUGUAUUAUAGGUGGGAGAUUUCGAUGGAAACUUAACCACAAACCAAUAAAGUGACUUACAGUAUUAGUUUGUUUUUUUCCUCACCACUUGUUGCCCUGAGACAAGUGUUUGAGGUUCUUACAACCUUGAGCUUUGGAUUGAUUUGAAUCCAGAAAUAUUACCAGAAAAAAGGUCAUUGUACACAUGGUUGUCAAACUCGCGAGUUGACUCGUAAAAUCGUUUACGAGUCAACUCAGGUAUAUCGAGUGAAAUCGGGUAGAAAACUCGAAAAUCAGUAAACUCGGUCAAACUCGGUUAAAAUCAGUCAAACUCGGUCAACUCGGUAAACUCGGUCCGAGUUUACCGAGUUUAACAAAAUUAUCAAAAACUAUGGAAUCUUCUCACUGUUCUCAGUCCUCUCCUCUCCAUCCCGUUAGUCUCACAAAAAUCCCCCCUUUUCCUUUCCCCUUUCCCCAAAUCAACCCUAGCAGAAGCAGAUCUCACAUUCUUUUAUUCUCAAAUCUUAAACCCAGCAGAAGCCAACGCCUUCCACUCUCUUUCUCUCAAAACCCCCAUUUUUUUUCUUUAUUUCGUUUGCCUUUGAUCUGAUUGUCUCCGCCUCUCCGGUCUCUAGUUUCCAGUCUCCACUCCUCUGCUUUGUUUGCUGGAUUCUUUCAUUAGUGGUCAGUUAAAUAAUAUUGAACUUGCUGUUAAUCUUGCAACUGGUGCUGAAAAUCUUCCAGCACUAUACAUCCGAAUUGGUGUAUAUAUUGAUUCUUGAACUGCUGGAUACAUGCCGAGGAAGAUCAAAGCAAUGAGGUCAUGUUUAGUUUAUAUAACACACCAACAAAUUAUUUGUUUUAAGUUUGUUAAUUUUUAGUUAAUAAAAUUCUAUGGACAUAAUUGUAUUGUAUUGUAUUUUUAAGUUAUUUAAAUC